rnacentral:rRNA from 1 species
UGCAGUCGAGCGGUAACAGAUCUAGCUUGCUAGAUGCUGACGAGCGGCGGACGGGUGAGUAACGCGUAGGAAACUGCCGAGUAGUGGGGGAUAGCCCAGAGAAAUUUGGAUUAAUACCGCAUACGCCCUACGGGGGAAAGGAGGGGAUCUUCGGACCUUUCGCUAUUCGAUGUGCCUGCGUGAGAUUAGCUUGUUGGUGAGGUAAAGGCUCACCAAGGCGACGAUCUCUAGCUGGUUUGAGAGGAUGAUCAGCCACACUGGGACUGAGACACGGCCCAGACUCCUACGGGAGGCAGCAGUGGGGAAUAUUGCACAAUGGGGGAAACCCUGAUGCAGCCAUGCCGCGUGUGUGAAGAAGGCCUUCGGGUUGUAAAGCACUUUCAGCAGUGAGGAAAGGUUGUAAGUUAAUACCUUGCAGCUAUGACGUUAACUGCAGAAGAAGGACCGGCUAACUCCGUGCCAGCAGCCGCGGUAAUACGGAGGGUCCGAGCGUUAAUCGGAAUUACUGGGCGUAAAGCGCGCGUAGGCGGCUAGGUCAGUCAGAUGUGAAAGCCCCGGGCUUAACCUGGGAAUUGCAUCUGAUACUGCUUGGCUAGAGUACAGAAGAGGGUGGUGGAAUUUCCUGUGUAGCG